AGACCAAUUUUAUUAUUUAACAAGCUGCUUACCAUUUCAAUAUUGAGUUACAGAUUACCAAUAAAAAUUUUAUUUUUUUUUGAGAAAUAGAUAGCAUAUUACCCGCUUUAUUUAUUUUAUUUAAAAAUAAACUUAGUUGAAAAUAUGAAUCAAAUAGGAUUCGAAUUUGAAACCUUAGGUAUCAAUCACCAAAUCAUGUGCCACUUACUCUAUGGACGGUCGGUCUAGUAAGAAAUCUUAGACUUCAAUAUUUGUAUAUAAUCAAAUAUUAGAUUACCCACAUCUUUUAC
rnacentral:lncRNA from 1 species